CACAGAGGUGGCAAGCGUUGUUCGGAAUUACUGGGCGUAAAGGGCGCGUAGGCGGUCUUGCAAGUCCUGUGUGAAAUCCCUCGGCUCAACUGAGGAACUGCACAGGAAACUGCUUGGCUUGAAUCCGGGAGAGGGAUGCAGAAUUCCAGGUGUAGCGGUGAAAUGCGUAGAUAUCUGGAGGAAUACCGGUGGCGAAGGCGGCAUCCUGGACCGGCAUUGACGCUGAGGAGCGAAAGCCAGGGGAGCAAACGGG
rnacentral:rRNA from 1 species